AGAGCGAACGCUGGCGGCAGGCUUAACACAUGCAAGUCGAGCGGGCGUAGCAAUACGUCAGCGGCAGACGGGUGAGUAACGCGUGGGAACAUACCUUUUGGUUCGGAACAACCCAGGGAAACUUGUGCUAAUACCGGAUAAGCCCUUACGGGGAAAGAUUUAUCGCCGAAAGAUCGGCCCGCGUCUGAUUAGCUAGUUGGUGAGGUAAUGGCUCACCAAGGCGACGAUCAGUAGCUGGUCUGAGAGGAUGAUCAGCCACAUUGGGACUGAGACACGGCCCAAACUCCUACGGGAGGCAGCAGUGGGGAAUAUUGGACAAUGGGCGCAAGCCUGAUCCAGCCAUGCCGCGUGAGUGAUGAAGGCCCUAGGAUUGUAAAGCUCUUUUGUGCGGGAAGAUAAUGACGGUACCGCAAGAAUAAGCCCCGGCUAACUUCGUGCCAGCAGCCGC
rnacentral:rRNA from 1 species